CCUACGGGGGGCAGCAGUGGGGAAUAUUGGACAAUGGGCGAAAGCCUGAUCCAGCCAUGCCGCGUGUGUGAAGAAGGCCUUCGGGUUGUAAAGCACUUUCAGUGGGGAAGAAAGCCUUGGGGCUAAUACCCUCGAGGAAGGACAUCACCCACAGAAGAAGCCCCGGCUAACUCCGUGCCAGCAGCCGCGGUAAUACGGAGGGUGCGAGCGUUAAUCGGAAUUACUGGGCGUAAAGCGCGCGUAGGCGGUCUGAUAAGCCGGUUGUGAAAGCCCCGGGCUCAACCUGGGAACGGCAGCCGGAACUGUCAGGCUAGAGUGCAGGAGAGGAAGGUAGAAUUCCCGGUGUAGCGGUGAAAUGCGUAGAGAUCGGGAGGAAUACCAGUGGCGAAGGCGGCCUUCUGGACUGACACUGACGCUGAGGUGCGAAAGCGUGGGUAGCAAACAGGAUUAGAUACCCGUGUAGUC
rnacentral:rRNA from 1 species